GCCUCCAUAGUCCAGUGGUUAUCAUCCUUCCAAACCCGGCAUUGUCCGAAAUACGAAGGUCGACGGUUCGAAUCCGUCAGGAGACA